rnacentral:rRNA from 1 species
AGCGGCGGACAGGUGAGUAACGCGUGGGUAACCUGCCCUGUAUACACGGAUAACAUACCGAAAGGUAUGCUAAUACGAGAUAAUAUGCUUUUAUCGCAUGGUAGAAGUAUCAAAGCUCCGGCGGUACAGGAUGGACCCGCGUCUGAUUAGCUAGUUGGUAAGGUAACGGCUUACCAAGGCGACGAUCAGUAGCCGACCUGAGACGGUGAUCGGCCACAUUGGAACUGAGACACGGUCCAAACUCCUACGGGAGGCAGCAGUGGGGAAUAUUGCACAAUGGGCGAAAGCCUGAUGCAGCAACGCCGCGUGAGCGAUGAAGGCCUUCGGGUCGUAAAGCUCUGUCCUCAAGGAAGAUAAUGACGGUACUUGAGGAGGAAGCCCCGGCUAACUACGUGCCAGCAGCCGCGGUAAUACGUAGGGGGCUAGCGUUAUCCGGAAUUACUGGGCGUAAAGGGUGCGUAGGUGGUUUCUUAAGUCAGAGGUGAAAGGCUACGGCUCAACCGUAGUAAGCCUUUGAGACUGGGAAACUUGAGUGCAGGAGAGGAGAGUGGAAUUCCUAGUGUAGCGGUGAAAUGCGUAGAUAUUAGGAGGAACACCAGUUGCGAAGGCGGCUCUCUGGACUGUAACUGACACUGAGGCACGAAAGCGUGGGGAGCAAACAGGAUUAGAUACCCUGGUAGUCCACGCCGUAAACGAUGAGUACUAGCUGU